rnacentral:rRNA from 1 species
UACAAAGGCCUCGAGCGUUAGGCGGAAUCACUGGGCUUAAAGCGUGUGUAGGUGGAUGCCUAAGUACCUUGUGAAGUCCCACGGCUUAACCGGAACUGCUGGGUAUACUGGGUGUCUUGAGCCACUCAGGGGCUACCGGAACAAGCGGUGGAGCGGUGAAAUGCGUAGAUAUCGCUUGGAACGCCAAUGGUGAAAACAGGUAGCUGGGGGUGUGCUGACACUGAGACACGAAAGCCAGGGGAGCAAACGGG